GACGAACGCUGGCGGCGUGCUUAACACAUGCAAGUCGAACGGAAAGGCCCUGCUUUUGUGGGGUGCUCGAGUGGCGAACGGGUGAGUAACACGUGAGUAACCUGCCCUUGACUUUGGGAUAACUUCAGGAAACUGGGGCUAAUACCGGAUAGGAGCUCCUGCUGCAUGGUGGGGGAUGGAAAGUUUCGGCGGUUGGGGAUGGACUCGCGGCUUAUCAGCUUGUUGGUGGGGUAGUGGCUUACCAAGGCUUUGACGGGUAGCCGGCCUGAGAGGGUGACCGGCCACAGUGGGACUGGGAUGCGGCCCAGACGCCUACGGGAGGCAGCAGUGGGGAAUAGUGCACAAUGGGCGGAAGCAUGAUGGAGCAACUCCGCGUGCGGGAUGACGGCCUUCGGGUUGUAAACCGCUUUCGCCUGUGACGAAGCGUGAGUGACGGUAAUGGGUAAAGAAGCACCGGCUAACUACGU
rnacentral:rRNA from 1 species